rnacentral:rRNA from 1 species
AUUGAACGCUGGCGGCAUGCCUUACACAUGCAAGUCGUACGGUAACGCGGGGCAACCUGGCGACGAGUGGCGAACGGGUGAGUAAUGCACCGGAACGUGCCCAGUAGUGGGGGAUAGCCCGGCGAAAGCCGGAUUAAUACCCCAUACGACCUACGGGUGAAAGCGGGGGACCGUAAGGCCUCGCGCUAUUGGAUCGGCCGAUGUCAGAUUAGGUUGUUGGUGGGGUAAAGGCCUACCAAGCCGACGAUCUGUAGCGGGUCUGAGAGGACGACCAGCCAAACUGGCACUGAGACACGGACCAGCCUCCUACGGGAGGCAGCAGGGGGGAAGUUUGGACAAUGGGGGCAACCCGGAUCCAGCCAUGCCGCGUGCGGGAAGAAGGCCUUCGGGUUGUAAACCGCUUUUGUCAGGGAAGAAACGCUCUGGGCUAAUACCCUGGGGUAAUGACGGUACCUGAAGAAUAAGCACCGGCUAACUACGUGCCAGCAGCCGCAGUAA